rnacentral:rRNA from 1 species
GGGCGCAAGCCUGAUGCAGCGACGCCGCGUGAGGGAUGGAGGCCUUCGGGUUGUAAACCUCUUUUAUCGGGGAGCAAGCGAGAGUGAGUUUACCCGUUGAAUAAGCACCGGCUAACUACGUGCCAGCAGCCGCGGUAAUACGUAGGGUGCAAGCGUUAUCCGGAAUUAUUGGGCGUAAAGGGCUCGUAGGCGGUUCGUCGCGUCCGGUGUGAAAGUCCAUCGCUUAACGGUGGAUCCGCGCCGGGUACGGGCGGGCUUGAGUGCGGUAGGGGAGACUGGAAUUCCCGGUGUAACGGUGGAAUGUGUAGAUAUCGGGGAGAACACC